GCGGCUUUAGCUCAGCCGGUAGAGCGCUGGAUUGUGGUUCCAGAUGUCACGGGUUCGAAUCCCGUAAGCCGCCCCA
rnacentral:tRNA from 1 species